rnacentral:rRNA from 1 species
AUGCAAGGUUUUUCGUGAAUUUAUAUUUUAUUUAAAUAAUUAAUAUAAUUUUUGUAUUCGCAGUAAUUGAUAUUAUUAAUUAGAUAGGUCUAGAUAUAGUAAUUUUAGUAAGCAUUGGCUAAACUUGUGCCAGCAGCCGCGGUUAUACCAGUGAUGCAAAUGAGUCUUUUUGGUUUGAGUUAAGCUUUUUAAUUAGAAUAAACGAAAUUUUAUUAGGUGAAAUUUUAAAAUUUUUAAAUUCUUUAUUAUGAGAUGCUGAGGCUUGUAAAUUUUAUUUAUAAACUAGGAUUAGAUACCCUAUUAUUUAAAAUGUAGAUUUGUUUUCCUAGGUAGUAGUAGUUAUGUUCUUGAAACUUAAAAAAUUUGGCGGUAUUUUAGUCUAUUCAGAGGAAUCUGUUCUGUAAUCGAUGACCCACGAUGGACCUAACUUAAAUUUGUUUUUCAGCUUAUAUACCGUCGUUAUUAGAAUAUUUUAUUAGAAUAAUAAUUUUCUUAAAUUUUUAUUAAAUUUUAUAUCAGAUCAAGGUGUAGCUUAUGUUUAAGAAGUAAUGGAUUACAAUAAAAUUAGUUAUACGGAGUUAAGGUUGUAAUACUUUGAUGAAGGUGGAUUUGAUAGUAAAUUUAUAUAGAUUAAUGAAUUGAUUAUAGCUCUAAAAUAUGCACACAUCGCCCGUCGCUCUUAUUACUAAGGUAAGAUAAGUCGUAACAUAGUAGAUGUA